rnacentral:rRNA from 1 species
GCAUAUCAAUAAGCGGAGGAAAAGAAACCAACAGGGAUUGCCUCAGUAACGGCGAGUGAAGCGGCAAAAGCUCAAAUUUGAAAUCUAGCACCUUCGGUGUUCGAGUUGUAAUUUGAAGAUGGUAACCUUGGGUUUGGCUCUUGUCUAUGUUCCUUGGAACAGGACGUCAUAGAGGGUGAGAAUCCCGUCUGAUGAGAUGCCCAUUCCUAUGUAAGGUGCUAUCGAAGAGUCGAGUUGUUUGGGAAUGCAGCUCUAAGUGGGUGGUAAAUUCCAUCUAAAGCUAAAUAUUGGCGAGAGACCGAUAGCGAACAAGUACAGUGAUGGAAAGAUGAAAAGAACUUUGAAAAGAGAGUGAAAAAGUACGUGAAAUUGUUGAAAGGGAAGGGCAUUAGAUCAGACUUGGUGUUUUACGAUUAUCUUCUCUUCUUGAGUUGUGCACUCGUAUUUCACUGGGCCAGCAUCGAUUCGGAUGGCAAGAUAAUGGCAGUUGAAUGUGGCUUCACUUCGGUGGAGUGUUAUAGCUUCUGCUGAUAUUGCCUGUCUGGAUCGAGGGCUGCGUCUUUGACUAGGAUGC